GAUGAACGCUGGCGGCGUGCCUAAUACAUGCAAGUCGAGCGAACGGACGAGAAGCUUGCUUCUCUGAUGUUAGCGGCGGACGGGUGAGUAACACGUGGAUAACCUACCUAUAAGACUGGGAUAACUUCGGGAAACCGUAGCUAAUACCGGAUAAUAUUUUGAACCGCAUGGUUCAAAAGUGAAAGACGGUCUUGCUGUCACUUAUAGAUGGAUCCGCUCUGCAUUAGCUAGUUGGUAAGGUAACGGCUUACCAAGGCAACGAUGCAUAGCCGACCUGAGAGGAUGAUCGGCCACACUGGAACUGCGACACGGUCCAGACUCCUAAGGGAGGCAGCAGUAGGGAAUCUUCCGCAAUGGGCGAAAGCCUGACGGAGCAACGCCGCGUGAGUGAUGAAGGUCUUCGGGUCGUAAAACUCUGUUAUUAGGGAAGAACAUAUGUGUAAGUAACUGUGCACAUCUUGACGGUACCUAAUCAGAAAGCCACGGCUAACUACGUG
rnacentral:rRNA from 1 species